UACGUAGGGACCAAGCGUUGUCCGGAAUCAUUGGGCGUAAAGAGCGUGUAGGCGGCUUGUUAAGUCUUGCGUGAAAUCUCGGGGCUCAACCCCGAGCGGUCGUGAGAAACUGGCAGGCUAGAGUGCGGGAGAGGAGAGUGGAAUUCCUGGUGUAGCGGUGGAAUGCGUAGAGAUCCGGAAGAACACCGGUGGCGAAGGCGGUGAGCUGGGCAGUAGCUGACACUGAGGCGCGACAGCGUGGGGAGCAAACAGG
rnacentral:rRNA from 1 species